AUCAAGGGAGUAGCAGACGGUUUACCGUGGUUGUAUCGUCAUUACGGAAUUUCGAUUUCCGGUGCAAUCUGAAACAGCGAGACUUGUUUAAUCAAAUAAACAGGUUUUUUAUA
rfam:Streptococcus iniae ITSA1 contig025, whole genome shotgun sequence.